rnacentral:tRNA from 1 species
GGAGAGAUGCCAGAGAGGCCGAUCGGGGCAGAUUGCUAAUCUGUUGUACUCGCAAGGGUACCCGGGGUUCGAAUCCCCGUCUCUCCGCCA